rnacentral:tRNA from 1 species
GCCUGGGUGGCUCAGUGGUUGAGCAUCUGCCUUUGGCUCAGGUCAUGAUACUAGAGUCCUGGGAUCGAAUCCCACAUCAGGCU